rnacentral:rRNA from 1 species
AGAGUUUGAUCCUGGCUCAGAGCGAACGCUGGCGGCGUGCCUAACACAUGCAAGUCGAACGCGAAAGGGGGGGCAACUCCCCCGGUAGCGUGGCGUACGGGUGAGUAACGCGUGGGCAAUCUGCCCUCGAGUGGGGAAUAACCUCGCGAAAGCGGGGCUAAUACCGCAUAACAUCCUUCUGCCCAUGGGCGGGGGGAUCAAAGAUGACCUCUACAUGUAAGUUGUCGCUUGAGGAGGAGCCCGCGUCCCAUUAGCUAGUUGGUAGGGUAACGGCCUACCAAGGCGACGAUGGGUAGCCGGCCUGAGAGGGUGUCCGGCCACACUGGAACUGAGACACGGUCCAGACUCCUACGGGAGGCAGCAGUGAGGAAUAUUGCGCAAUGGGCGAAAGCCUGACGCAGCGACGCCGCGUGGAGAAUGAAGGCCUUCGGGUCGUAAACUCCUGUCGAGGGGGAAGAAAUGAUCUCCCGCUAACAUCGGGAGGUAUUGACUGUACCUCUGGAGGAAGCCCCGGCUAACUCCGUGCCAGCAGCCGCGGUAAUACGGAGGGGGCCAGCGUUGCUCGGAAUUACUGGGCGUAAAGGGCUUGUAGGCGGUCUGAUAAGUCCUGUGUGAAAUCCCCUGGCUCAACCAGGGAACUGCGCCGGAUACUGUCGGACUAGAGGCCGGGAGAGGGAAGCGGAAUUCCCAGUGUAGCGGUGAAAUGCGUAGAUAUUGGGAGGAACACCGGUGGCGUAGGCGGCUUCCUGGACCGGUUCUGACGCUGAGGAGCGAAAGCUAGGAUAGCAAACAGGAUUAGAUACCCUGGUAGUCCUAGCUGUAAACGAUGGGCGCUUGGUGUUGCGGGUAUCGACCCCUGCAGUGCCGAAGCUAACGCAUUAAGCGCCCCGCCUGGGGAGUACGGUCGCAAGGCUGAAACUCAAAGGAAUUGACGGG